rnacentral:lncRNA from 10 species
CAGAAUUGAAGGAAAAAAAGGGGAGUAGAUCACCUCCCAUUCUCCACUUUUCUCUUCUCAUUUUACUUUUGUUUAUUGUUCUUUUCCUUUUUUCCACCUGCUUGAUCUGUGUCCCCUAAAUUCUGGAUUCAAUCAGAAGUCCUCUGAAAAAUCGAAAUCUGGUUUAUUUGUUUGAAAUCUUGUCUGCUCAAUAAAACAUACACUAGGAUUGACAGGGCCAGAGAAACUAAACGUCUUCAGGAUAUUCUGUAAGUGCUGUUUCUAAAUUCUCACCACCAUUUUCCUUUUUCUCACUGUCUCCUUUUAAGCUUUGUAACUCUUGGCACCAGGGGAAAAAAUUUAAAGUUUUUAAAAAGCAACCUGAGGCCAGAGUUUGAAAAGCUUACAAAAAGAAAAAAUUACUGUAUACAUAAUAUUCUACAUCGCCUUUUCCUAGCCAAAAAAGAUGUCACAAACUUUUCAAACGUGGAGAUGCAUAAUAGGUUUGGCAUAUACAGGGGAGGGGAUUGUGGAAUCUAAUUCCAAACGGGGAAAACAAAGUUUGAAUUUAUUUUCUAAGUGACUCAGGAGAGAUUUAAAAGUUGAAAUGUUACCAUUUGUUUGGCUUCUCUCAACAGCAUCAGCCAUUUUCAUUUCACGUGGGAAGAACAAUAUGAGACAAACAACCUAAGAUUAAAUGAAACCAGUUGGAUUGGAGAGAUGCAUUUACAUUUUACCACCUGGAUAAGUGUAUUUUCCUCUUGUGGCUUUAUAGGCUUGGGGGCUAUUGAAAAAUAUCUGUCUAUAAAUUGAAUCAACACUCAUUAAACUCAUUAAGAGAAAUGUAGUUAGGAAUUUAGUAUGGAAAGCAAGCCCUUCGUUUUUAUUGGAUUUUACAAUAGGGAGCACUCUAAGCUUUUAGACAUUAAGGCAGGAAGGGGCUAACUAUAGAAAUUACUCCAGUGUGGGCUUCGACUUUGGAGAGGCUAUGCUUCUCUAGAGAGAAUGUAUGCACAGCAGAAGAGUAAGAUGAGGCAGAUAUUUUAUUUCCUACACAUCCCAAAAUAAUAACCCUACUCUGAUUUAUCUUACCAUUACCCCAUUUUUUCUCCCCCUCAUCCACAACAGUUCUCUAACUCCUGCCUGGUUUUCCUUUAGUUUCAUAACUCUUCACAGAUGACUUUUGAAAAUAUUUCACUCUCUGCAGCCUGAUGAUGACGACGAAUAUUUUGCUGUAUGUUCAGAAACAAUAAAUUAUUAUAUAAUUAUCACUGUGCACAAGACAGAAGAAACCUAUCUCUUGAAAACAACACUUAAAAUAUUCACAUAAAAUGCAAAUUAACUGUCUUUUCAUAAGAGAAUUAUCUUUCUGUCCUGUAAAGUUCUUCCAGGAUAAAGAAUUUCCACUUCCAAAGUUUAUUUCCAAUGGUUUCAACUUAGCAAACAUGUAAACAUGUCCCAGGCUCCAGGAGCUAUGCUAGGUACUAUACAUAGUAUACAAGAGGGAAAGAGAGAAGGCAACUGCCAAUCUCUUUCUGGGAACUUUAUACCUUACCUUACUGAGGUACCAUUUACUAUGGAUUAAACAGAGUUAAAGAAGAUAACUAAUUUUUACAAGACAGUGACCUACCAUUUGAAUCUGAAUUUUCAAAAAUCCAUGAUAUUUUCCACUAUCCUAAAGUUUGAGACAACUCAGAAGGAAAUAAACAUUUGUACUAGGAUAAGUCAAAAUUCUAUUUAUCAGAAGUAAUCUUAGAAAGAGAGACUACUAUAUUAAUUUGGAAUUAAUUAUUUGAUAAGCCCACCCACACCCCAUACUAUUUCUGAUGGUUCUUUUGGUUUUUGAUAAGAUGGCAAGGGUGUAAAUGACAAGAAAAAAAAUGUGUUGUUCCUGGGAAGGAAAGGGGAAGAGGGUGAGCAAAAAACUUCUAAACCCUUUAGACUCCCCAGUGCAUUCAAGUUGGGCAUCUGUGAAAACACCUGAAAAACUUGAGCUUCAAGUCAUGACCAACCUGGAGGUAAAACAGACUCAGUUCAAGUGGAUCUGGGAAUUGAAGGGGCGGCUUAGAUUCUGCUGAAGUGUGAAUUAAUGUUACAUUUGAUUGAUUCUUUUUUUUUUUUUUUUUUUUUUUACUUUGGGAUAUUUUAAACUUCUUUUUUUUUUUUAAUUAUACUUUAAGUUUUAGGGUACAUGUGCACAUUGUGCAGGUUAGUUACAUAUGUAUACAUGUGCCAUGCUGGUGCACUGCACCCACUAACUCGUCAUCUAGCAUUAGGUAUGUCUCCCGAUGCUAUCCCUCCUCCCUGCCCCCACCCCACAACAGUCCCCAGAGUGUGAUAUUCCCCUUCCUGUGUCCAUGUGACCUCAUUGUUCAAUUCCCACCUAUGAGUGAGAAUAUGUGGUGUUUGGUUUUUUGUCCUUGUGAUAGUUUACUGAGAAUGAUGAUUUCCAGUUUCAUCCAUGUCCCUACAAAGGACAGGAACUCAUCAUUUUUUAUGGCUGCAUAGUAUUCCAUGGUAUAUAUGUGCCACAUUUUCUUAAUCCAGUCUAUCAUUGUUGGACAUUUGGGUUGGUUCCAAGUCUUUGCUAUUGUGAAUUAGUGCCACAAUAAACAUACUUGUGCAUGUGUCUUUAUAGCAGCAUGAUUUAUAGUCCUUUGGGUA